rnacentral:rRNA from 1 species
UGAGUUUGAUCCUGGCUCAGGAUGAACGCUGGCGGCGUGGAGAAGGCAUGCAAGUCGAAUGGGUUUAGACCCAUGGCGAACGAGGUAGUAAUACAUAGAUACGUACCUUAGAGUCUGAGAUAAUCCAUCGAAAGGUGGGAUAAUAUCAGAUGGUCCCGCAAGGGUAAAGAUUUAUUGCUCUAAGAUCGGUCUAUGCGCUAUCAGCUAGUUGGUGAGGUAAUGGCUCACCAAGGCAAUGACGGCUAGGGGGCGUGAGAGCGUGAUCCCCACCGAUGGCACUGCGACACGGGCCAUACACCUACGGGUGGCAGCAGUCGAGAGUCUUCCACAAUGGGCGAAAGCCUGAUGGAGCGACGCCGCGUGAAUGAAGAAGGGCUUCGGCCUGUAAAGUUCUUUUCUCUACGAGAAAACCGCUUUUUGCGGUGUGAUGUUAGUAGAGGAAUAAGGGGUUGCUAAACUCGUGCCAGCAGCAGCGGUAAUACGAGUGCCCCGAGCGUUAUCCGGAAUCACUGGGCGUAGAGGGUGCGUAGGAGGUUUAGUUAGUCCUGUCUUAAAAAUUUCGGCUUAACCGAAAAGAUGGACAGGAAACGGCUAAACUAGAGAGUGCGAGAGGCAUAUGGAACUCAUGGUGUAGGGGUGAAAUCCGUUGAUAUCAUGGGGAACACCAAAGGCGAAGGCAAUAUGCUGGCGCAUUUCUGACUCUGAGGCACGAAAGCGUGGGGAUAGAAAAGGAUUAGAUACCCUUGUAUUCCACGCCCUAAACGAUGUUCUCUAGCUUUUGAUAGUAUCGACCCUAUCAGAGGCGAAGCUAACGCGUUAAGAGAACCGCCUGGGAAGUACGGCCGCAAGGCUAAAACUCAAAGGAAUAGACGGGGACUUGCACAAGCAGUGGAUCAUGUGGUUUAAUUCGAUGAUAAACGAAGAACCUCACCGGGGUUUGAAACCCAAGCGAAUCUCAGUGGAAACAUUGAGAGUCUCACAAGGACGGUUGGGCAGGUGAUGCAUGGCUGUCGUCAGUUCGUGAUUUGAAUUGUUCCCUUAAGUGGGGCAACGAACGCAACCCUCGUGUUGUGUUA